rnacentral:rRNA from 1 species
AGCGAACGCUGGCGGCAGGAUUAACACAUGCAAGUCGAGCGGGCCCUUCGGGGUCAGCGGCAGACGGGUGAGUAACACGUGGGAACGUACCCUUUGGUUCGGAAUAACGCUGGGAAACUAGCGCUAAUACCGGAUACGCCCUUUUGGGGAAAGGCUUGCUGCCGAAGGAUCGGCCCGCGUCUGAUUAGCUAGUUGGUGGGGUAAUGGCCUACCAAGGCGACGAUCAGUAGCUGGUCUGAGAGGAUGAUCAGCCACACUGGGACUGAGACACGGCCCAGACUCCUACGGGAGGCAGCAGUGGGGAAUAUUGGACAAUGGGCGCAAGCCUGAUCCAGCCAUGCCGCGUGAGUGAUGAAGGCCUUAGGGUUGUAAAGCUCUUUUGUCCGGGACGAUAAUGACGGUACCGGAAGAAUAAGCCCCGGCUAACUUCGUG